AUUGAACGCUGGCGGCAGGCCUAACACAUGCAAGUCGAACGAGUGGCGGACGGGUGAGUGAUGUCUGGGAAACUGCCCGAUGGAGGGGGAUAACUACUGGAAACGGUAGCUAAUACCGCAUACCAUCGGAUGUGCCCCGAUGGGAUUAGCUAGUCGGUGGGGUAACGGCUCACCUAGGCGACGAUCCCUAGCUGGUCUGAGAGGAUGACCGGCCACACUGGAACUGAGACACGGCCCAGACUCCUACGGGAGGCAGCAGUGGGGAAUAUUGCACAAUGGGCGCAAGCCUGAUGGAGCCAGGCCGCGUGUGUGAAGAAGGCUUUCGGGUUGUAAAGUACUUUCAUUGAGGAGGCGUUACUCACAGAAGAAGCACCGGCUAACUCCGUGCCAGCAGCCGCGGUAAUAC
rnacentral:rRNA from 1 species